GCCAAAUCCUCCUCCAAGAGCUGGAACAAGCUGGAUCAGUGAUUAGCCCUUUCCCUUCCCAGUAAACAGACGACACAUAGUUCUGGGAGUGCAACUGGAAUGUUUUAAUCUGGCCAGAUGACCUGCUUAUAUACAAAAUCUGAAUACAGUGAACACGCCCAAGACACACCCAUAAACACACCCACAACAUGCCCAAGAAAUGCAGUGUGACUUAGAAUAAAA